UAAGGAAUAUUGGUCAAUGGACGCAAGUCUGAACCAGCCAUGCCGCGUGAAGGAUGAAGGUCCUCUGGAUUGUAAACUUCUUUUAUCUGGGACGAAAACGGGAUUUUUAUCUCAAUUGACGGUACCAGAGGAAUAAGCACCGGCUAACUCCGUGCCAGCAGCCGCGGUAAUACGGAGGGUGCGAGCGUUAUCCGGUUUUACUGGGUUUAAAGGGUGCGUAGGUGGGCUUAUAAGUCAGUGGUGAAAUCUCCGAGCUUAACUUGGAAACUGCCGUUGAUACUAUAGGUCUUGAAUUAUCUGGAGGUAAGCGGAAUAUGUCAUGUAGCGGUGAAAUGCUUAGAUAUGACAUAGAACACCAAUUGCGAAGGCAGCUUACUACAUAUAAAUUGACGCUGAGGCACGAAAGCGUGGGGAUCAAACA
rnacentral:rRNA from 1 species